rnacentral:lncRNA from 1 species
GAGAGAUUGGAAAGCUUAAACAUAGAUCUUUAGAGAAAAAUUCUCCAUCACAUGAUCGGCAUAAAGAUUCUUUUGGCUUUGAUGAUCAUGUGAAGUCAAGAAAUCCUCGUCAACUGCCAGACAGGUUUGCUGUUGCUGUGGUACAUUCUGUCUCAGUAGUCUAUAGUUUGUGUAUAACUGAUCUAAUUUUUGUAUUUUUUGUUUUUAUUUGAAUAAACCAGUGAAAAGUUAGCUGAAAGAGUGGAUCACAUAAUAAAUCCCGAGAAACAAGAAUCAUUAGUGAUUCGUAAAAGCGCCAUAUUAAGAGAGGAAGGAAAGGGAUCAUAUGUUGACAAUGAUUACAGAGCUGUUGAUAAGAAUACAUCUGUGUAUGACGAUACCAAGGGCAGUGGUCGACAUUCAGAACUUGAAGUCUUGCCUAAUUUGUCUGGGGCAGACAAGCUGAAUGCUCGAAGUCGUUCAGUGGGAUUCAACUCUGAGGAAACUGACAGGCAUAAAACUAAAAUUAAAGAAAAGGGAAAGCACAAGAGGUCAGAGAGACAAGAGGUGGAAUCAGAUGACUAUUCUAGCUAUGAUUCUUAUGAGAAGAGGAAGGAGGCUAAGAGGAGGAAAAAAGAGGAGAAGAAAUUGAAAAAGGAGGAGAGGCAUCGACGGCGGGAGGAACGGCGCCGCAGAAAAAAGGAAAAGCAUGCAGAGAAGCUGAAAUUGAAGUCGCUUGACGCUGGUAGUCCAUCUUUAGAUAUUGAGAUUGAUCAUGAUCGUCAUGCUUCUUAUGAUGACGGUUAUAGAAGGCGGGAAACGCAUACAAGUGACAUGGAGGAAACAGAAUCUGAGCAGAAAAAGCUUGAGAUAGAGUUGAGGGAAAAGGCUCUUGAGUCGCUUCGAGCAAAGAAGGGCGCUCAGAAUUAAAUUUUUUUGCUGCUCUAGAAUAUUUCACUUUUAUUUUCUGUUAUAUGAUCCUGUUAUGAGUUCCUGUUUCUGUCCUAGACCUAUUCUGUUUCGGAUGAAUGUAUUCUUGGUGGCUAUUUAAUGUAAUGUGUCUUUACUGCUGGCAGCUGAAUGGAUAAAUGAGGAUUUCCUGAGCUAGUGUCUUGAGUGCAACUUUAUGCUGACUUUCCUGCUAAAUUUGCUGGUAAUAUUUGUCUUCCCUUCACUGGGAAUAUGUUUAUGUUAUAUUUACACGACACAAAAGUGUGCACGUGAAUCAUCUUGUUGCUUGGGUGGUGCUUUCCAUCUUUUACUAUUUUGUGUCUACUAUACUUACAUUUUGGUAUUUGCUUGUCUUCUGUGAGUUGGAAUUUCAAUUAAGCUUGCAGGUAAGGAGUGCCUAACCUUUUAUUCUUUGGAAUGAUUAUGUGCAUCCUGAAGGUCUUGACAGUUAUUUCCCUAAAUAACUUUGUUACUAAAAUGACUUUCUGGUUAAUUGAUAGAUGAGAAUAAUUGUCAACUUGACGACUUCGUUGAGCAGAUCUUGUGCAACUCCAUAUUUUAGACCUCCAUACAG